GAUGAACGCUGGCGGCGUGCUUAACACAUGCAAGUCGAACGGAAAGGCCCAAGCUUGCUUGGGUACUCGGGUGGCGAACGGGUGAGUAACACGUGGGUGAUCUGCCCUGCACUUCGGGAUAAGCCUGGGAAACUGGGUCUAAUACCGGAUAGGACGAUGGUUUGGAUGCCAUUGUGGAAAGUUUUUUCGGUGUGGGAUGAGCUCGCGGCCUAUCAGCUUGUUGGUGGGGUAAUGGCCUACCAAGGCGUCGACGGGUAGCCGGCCUGAGAGGGUGUACGGCCACAUUGGGACUGAGAUACGGCCCAGACUCCUACGGGAGGCAGCAGUGGGGAAUAUUGCACAAUGGGCGCAGGCCUGAUGCAGCGAGGCCGCGUGGGGGAUGACGGCCUUCGGGUUGUAAACUCCUUUCGCUAGGGACGAAGCGUUUUUGUGACGGUACCUGGAGAAGAAGCACCGGCUAACUACGUG
rnacentral:rRNA from 1 species